AUCCAUCUGAUGAGUGCAAAAUAGGACGAAAAGUGCGUCUUGAAU
rfam:Schistosoma curassoni strain Dakar, Senegal genome assembly, scaffold: SCTD_scaffold0004200